AUGGUAUAUACGAUCCAGAUGAUAUAUAUGAGACUAAUAUAAAGGAUAUAUGUGAGAGAUAUAGUGAGAUAUAUCCUAGAAAUAGAGAGAAGAGUACUUUUGUUCCAAUAGAUUAUAGCGAUCCCAAUUGUAUGGAAAAAUUAGCUCGUUUGUGGGUUCAAUGCGAAACUUGCUAUGGACUCAAUUUUAAGCAAUUUUUCCGACCCAAAAUGAAUAUUUGCGAACACUGUGGCGAGCAUUUGAAAAUGAGCAGUUCAGAUAGAAUCGACCUUUCGAUUGACCGAGAUACUUGGAAUCCUAUGGAUGAAGACAUGGUUUCUGUGGAUCCCAUUAAAUUUGAUUCGAUUAAAGAAUUGGGUUCGGAAGAGGAAUCUUCGAAAGAUCGUCUGGAUGAAGACAUGCUUUCUCCAGAUCCCAUUGAAUUGGAUUCGGAAGAAGAAUCUUCGAAAGAUCGUGUGGAUUCGGAAGAGGAAAAAGACCAAUCUUAUAUCGAUCGUCUUGAUUCUUAUCAAGAAAAGACAGGAUUACCGGAGACGGAUUUAUAUUCACAAUGAAAUAUAAAAGUAUAAUACAAAAAAUAAAGGUUUAUUUUAUUUUCUAUUUAUAUUACAAUAGAUAAUAUAUAGAAUAGAAAAUGGGGCGUGGCCAAGCGGUAAGGCGGCGGGGUUUGGUCCCGUGAUUCGGAGGUUCGAAUCCUUCCGUCCCAGGUGAAACCGAUUGAUGAUAUCACCAGUUUUCUUCAUGAAGGCAUAAAAAGGCUUCUUAUACGUUUCUAGGGGAGGGGAUAUAUUGUUAAUCUAAAGUUGCUCAACCUACAUAUUAGGAAAAAGUCAAUAAAUAAAGUUUAUCGAUAAAUACCGUAGACCCUAUAAGCUUUUUUACUUAUUUUCAAUUAGUAUAUUUAGAAAAUAUACUAAUUGAAAAUCAAACAAUGAUUAUGAUUAUGCUAUUCUAUUCAUCUAUAAUAUUUUCAUUCAUCUAUCAUAUUUUCAUGUAAAUGGAGGAAAAAAAGAAAAAUCUAUGCAAAGAAAGUGGUUCAAUUCAAUGAUCUUUAAUCAUUCAUCUAUCAUAUUUUCAUGUAAAUGGAGGAAAAAAAGAAAAAUCUAUGCAAAGAAAGUGGUUCAAUUCAAUGAUCUUUAAUAGGGGUUUAGAAUACAGGUGUGGUUUAAGUAAAUCAAUAGAGGGUUUUGGUCCUAUUGAAAAUAACGGUGUAAAUUAUAAAUGAUAAAUGAUAAAUGAAGACCCAUCUAGUUUAACUGAUAUGGAUAAUAACAUUGAUAGCUGGAAGAACAAUAGUGAAAAUUCUAGUUAUGGUCAUGCUGAUUCUUUAGCAGAUGUCAGCAACAUAGAUAAUUUACUAUCUGAUAAAAUUUUUUCAAUUAGGGAUAGUAAUAGCAAUAUAUAUGACAUAUAUUAUGCUUAUGAUACUAAUGAUACUAAUAAUACUAAAUAUAAAUGGACUAAUAACAUUAAUCGUUGCAUUGAGAGUUAUCUUCGUUCUCAAAUCUGUGAGGAUAUUGACUUUAAUAGUGACAUUUGCGAUAAGGUCCAAAGGACUAUUAUAAUUUUAAUAAGGAGCACAAAUGAUACAAAUGAUAUAUCAGAUACAAAUGAUAUAUCAGAUACAAAUGAUACAAAUGAUACAAAUGCGAUAUAUGAUCCAUUUGAUAUAUCCGAUACAAAUGAUACAAAUGAGAUAUACGAUCCAUUUUUUAUAUUAGAUAUAAAUGAUACAAAUGAUACAAAUGAUAUAUAUGGUAUAUACGAUCCAGAUGAUAUAUAUGAGACUAAUAUAAAGGAUAUAUGUGAGAGAUAUAGUGAGAUAUAUCCUAGAAAUAGAGAGAAGAGUACUUUUGUUCCAAUGGAUUAUAGCGAUCCCAAUUGUAUGGAAAAAUUAGCUCGUUUAUGGGUUCAAUGCGAAACUUGCUAUGGACUCAAUUUUAAGCAAUUUUUCCGACCCAAAAUGAAUAUUUGCGAACACUGUGGCGAGCAUUCGAAAAUGAGCAGUUCAGAUAGAAUCGACCUUUCGAUUGAUCGAGAUACUUGGAAUCCUAUGGAUGAAGACAUGGUUUCUGUGGAUCCCAUUAAAUUUGAUUCGAUUAAAGAAUUGGGUUCGGAAGAGAAAUCUUCGAAAGAUCGUCUGGAUGAAGACAUGCUUUCUCCGGAUCCCAUUGAAUUGGAUUCGGAAGAAGAAUCUUCGAAAGAUCGUGUGGAUUCGGAAGAGGAAAAAGACCAAUCUUAUAUCGAUC
rnacentral:lncRNA from 1 species